AUUUAUUUUAGUUUAAAUAUUUAUAAAUUGCAAGGAGGGACAGGAUCUAAAACUCAAGAAACUGGUGUGGCACCAAUUUUUAUGAGUCUGACAUCCAUUCCAGUAAUUUCUUUGCAGUACAAGGCUGAAUUUAAAAAACCCUUAAGAGGAAUACAAAGGGCUGUUUUUGUCAUUUAUUAGAUUUGAGCAUGGUUUUCAUGAAAGAUGUGGUCUUUAAGGGGACACUGAAGAUAAAUAUGCAGAUAUGUAAAGCUGUGGGAGCUCAGAGUUGGAAAAACAUAAAGUGGAUUAGAGAGCCAAGCACAUGGAAGAAUGUGUGCUGAAACAUGAGAUCUUGAUGUAAAACUCAUGAAAUUGGGUUAAAUUUUUGUUAUCAUGGAUAUUUUAAAAUCCUAAAUUAGUUGAUGUCAGAAUAUUAAUUAAGAACCUUGGAUUACUUUGAAAUUGAUGUAAUGUCAGUGGAAUGCAGGUGAGGGAUUCUUGAAACCCAGAUUGUGUUGGUGUUAUAAAAACGUGUGUAGUCAUGUCUGGUAAAUCUCAUUUUUCGAGGCUUUCAUGGUCUUAACUGUAAAAUGAAGGAUUGGUUUAGAUGAUUUCUAAGGUCCUUUUUACUGAUAGAAUUAUCAAUGAUUUGAAAAUACUGCAGCUUCAGAGAAAAGUUUUUUUCCACUAGCCUUACAUGUUGUUUGAUCUCCUAACCAAAAGAUCAAAAGAUAAGUUAGGAAAAAAAAACAAAAAACUCUUUCGUUAGCUAAAACAAACACCCAUAAAAUUUAUUUGCCUUAUUGGAAUGAGAUAUUGUUAGACUAACAUUAAUUAUUGCCUAAGGGUUUAUGACUGACUAUGCUUUACAGUAAGCUUCUCAGAACUUUGGACUUGGAAACCUUAUCCAAAUUAAAAACAUUCAAAAAUUCAGGAAAAAAAAAUGUAGGCAGUUUUCCUGCUCAAUAGCUGAAAUUCAAAAUACUAGAGACCACUCUGGUUUUUUGUUGUUGUUGUUUGGUUGGUUGAUUUUUUAUUUCUUUCUAGUGUUUUGAUAAGGAAUAUUGCUGAGGCUUAAAUGUGGUUUGUCCCACAAAGGUUCAUGUUCUGGAAGGGUGGCCUCAGUAUGGUGAUGUUGAGGUGGUAGAAACUUAUACAAGAUGAGGCCUAUUGGAAAAUAAUUAGGUCAUGGGAGCUUUCUCCUCAUGAAGGGAUGCUGCUGAUGAUCAGAGCGGUUGAGAUCUAGUAGAAAGGGAUUAAUUUUCCAGAAAUCAGAUUGUUAUAAAAAGAGUGACCCUGGCCUCUCCCUGGUCUCUAAGUCCUUGUCUUGUCAUGUGAUCUUUCCUUCUUGCAAUGCCUCCACCAUGAUGCUCCUACCAUGUUCACAUGUAAGCAGAAGGCCCCCACUAGAGGCUGAACCAAUAAGUCUCCUUGAUACUGAACUUUCAGCCCCCAAACUGUAAGCUAAGUAAACCUCUUUUCUGUAAAAAGUAUUCAGCCUCAAAUAGUUCAUUAUAACACACAAAACAGACUAAUACAGAUACAUUUUUCUGAGGGACACACACACAAAAAGGAAUUUUGCCUCUUUGAGAUUAUAAAAUGGGUCAUUUAUUAAUCCACUCAUCCUGUCAACACAUGUGACCUGAGCACCUCACAGUUACCAGGCACUGGACCAUAGGAGGAAAGCAAAACAGGUCAGGCAUCUUGCUUAUAGUCUAGUAAGUCAAUGUUAAAUUAACAUGUACUUACAAAUGAGACAAGUGCUAUGAAGAUGAACCAUCUCCAUAUUGCAGUGGUGCAUUAAGGAAAUGCCUGGAAUGUGACUUGAAGAUUAAGAGGGAUAUGCCAAGAGCAGGAUGAAGAGCAAGUGUGAAGGCACAAAUGUGGAAACUGCGUAUACUCCAGGAAUCGAAAGGAAAGCAGAGUCACUGGAGGGGAAGAGUAGCUAUUGAGAAGGAAGAAGAUUAAAAACUUGAUUGUGUAUUAACAUCAUGAUUGACCACUUAUCGUGUGCCAGGCACUGUGCUAAUUCACCUCAUAUGCUCAAAACUCUUUUGAAAUAGAUACCAAAUAGUAGAUGAGAAAUUAAGGCUAAGAGUUGUUAUUCACAAUCUUGGCUGUAUAUUAGGAUCAUCUGUAGAUCUAUUAAAAAUUUUAGUGUCUGAACACCACCCUCUUAUAUUCUGAUUAAAUUGGGCUAGAGAGGGGGGUCUUUUUAGACUCAUUGUGCAAUCCUAAUGUAAUCUGAAAGUAAUCAUAAUGCAGUGAAAGUUGAGAAUCGCUGGAUUAACUUUACUUUGUCCACAGUCACUUAGCAACUAAGGGUAGAGGAAGAGAAACUUAACCUAGAUCUGUUUGAUCCUGAAGCCUGUGUUCUUAGCCACUCAUUAGUUCCCUGUCCACAUUCAGUAGUAUAUAGAAAGCAAUUUCAUGCUAAAAGCUGUUCAUCACUGAGACAGAAAGAUGAACAAGAUUGAGCUCUUACCUUCAGUAUUCACAGUCAUAAACUGAUAAGGCAGAAGUCUCAGUAAACCAAGCCAGCCCAUGUAAAUACACAAGUUCACUGAAAACUUUUCAUGAAAUCAUAUAUGUUCUGCUGUUUUAAGCUAGAUUUGUCUGGAAGGUACCUAAUGGGGGGGAAUCUAGGUAGGCAGAUAUCGCAAUUGUCAGCUACGAGAUGUUGCAAGCCUGAACUGAGGCAAUGGCAGAGGUCACAAAGAGAAUUGGCAGGACUUGCUGACCACUGAUGUGAGGGUGAUAAAAAGAUAGAAAUGGAGAUGACUUCAAUGUUUUGAGUUUGAGAAAUAGAGUUCAUGUGGCACCAUUGGUCUAGAAUAAGAAUGCAAUAAUUGAAUUUGGGGUUGAAUGAGUUUGAAAUAUUUUGAAAUUCAGGUAGAAAUAUUUAGUAGGCAAUGACAGUGUGCAACUCGAGGUUGAGUGAGCAAAUGGACCUAGAAAUGAACAACUGAAAUUACAAUGUUUUAGGAGGUAGUUGAAUAUGCCAUGUCUGACAUUUUUUAGAAAAGACAAUAGAGAUUGGGGAAGGAAAAAAUUCUGACAUUGCCGUACUUGAAUAUGUCAGUAAAGCUAUUAUUUACCUGCAGUGAUAUUGAACACAGUCCACUUAUGAUUCAUAUCCAUGAUGAAUUUUUAAUACUUUCCAGACUUUGCCUGGCCUCAUAGCAAAUGUAACAGAUGAUACAUAGCCAUGGAAUGCAAACCAAUUUUAAAUAUUGGCUUAAUAUUUAAGAAGAAUGCUAUAUGAUGCAUUCAGAAAUGUAAAAGAAAUAUCUUAGAACUGUGUUUCCACACAAGUAAUUUUUAUGUACCUCUAGUUUUGACUUAAAUUAUUUUGAUAGCAAUAUUACCUACAAUGGUUACAAUGUCCUAAACUUAAAACCAUAUAGAAAAUUUUUAGGCUUAAACUCCUAUGCAUCUAAAAAACCAAUGCAUUUGCAAAAGCAUAAAAAUAGUUUAUCUUAAAAUUAUGGUAAUGUAAAAGACAUCUUCUUGAAAUUGAUGCACGACAUAAAUAUUGAAACAAUUGCUACAGAACAGAAUUAUUUUAAGAUAAAACAUGAUUUUAAUACUCUAUGCAAUGUAAUGGCUGGAUUUUCUUUCCACAUUUCUCUGUUAAACCUUUCUCUGUUAAACCCUUGGCCUUCAUCUUGAGCACAUCAUUUUAGUUCACUUCUGUUUUGUUUUUAAAAAAAGAAAGAAAGAAAACAACCUAAGACAAUUGCAGGUCAAUCUUAAGAGAAAUCAUGUGGCAAUAUCCUGUUAGAAUGUAUUCAACAUGGUUCAAAAUGUGCUUCUAUUAAUGUCUUAAGGUUAUAUAAUUUGAAACACAUCACUUCAAAAUUCUCUAAAGAAAUGUGGACUACUGAGAAUAUAUUCAUGCUGCCUAACAAUCUACAAAUGCCUCUUUGGGGAACAGUAUUCUAGAUAAUCCAGUGUCUUUGGAUUUCUUCGCCUACUAAAAUUCCUUAGGAUAAAUCUCUAAUUUCCAAAACAUGUUCCAUAGAAUUAAUGUCAAUAGAUAUUUUGUGUGGAAUAAAAAAUAGAAUUUGGGGCUCAUUUUUGGAGAGCAUGGGUUAGAAAACGUUAAAUAGAUGUUUUCCGUAUGGGAAUUCUGAGAUUCUUUAAGAUGCCAGUACACCAUUUCACCCAUGGAACAUUUGUCUUUUUCUCAACUUCAAAACAUUCCACAAGACUAAUAGUUGAUUAUAUAUUAUAUAUUGUCAAGUAAAUAUAUCUAGAAGAACUUGAACUAAUGAAUUUGCAUUUUAUAGUGAAAGCCAUUCAUGGAAUCAUCUGUCAUCCACCAAUCAUCAUCUGCAUAGAGAGUAAAAGAAUCAUCAGGAUUUUGAGACUAUUUUCAGAGUCUUGUAUAGUGCCCAGUUCAGAAUAUGGCCUCAAUAAAUAUUUGUUGAAUUAAUA
rnacentral:lncRNA from 1 species